UCCAGUUGGGGCCGCCAGCGGUCCCGGGCAGGUUCGACUCCUGUGAUCUUCCGCCA
rnacentral:tRNA from 1 species